ensembl:rRNA 5S_rRNA 5S ribosomal RNA
GUCUACAGACAUACCACCCUCAACAGGCCCAAUCUCAUCUGAUAUUGGAAGCUAAGCAGGGUCAGGCAUGGUUAGUACCUGGAUGGGAAAACUUGAAGGAAUAAUGUCAAAUGAGAUA